rnacentral:rRNA from 1 species
CCAAUAGCGUAUAUUAAAGUUGUUGCAGUUAAAAAGCUCGUAGUUGAAUUUCGGGGUCAGUAGGUCGGUCGUGCCACUGGUAUGAACUGGUUUUACUGAUUCCUCCCUCUUGAAGAACUGUAAUGCCAUUAAUUUGGUGUUGCAGGGAAUCAGGACUGUUACUUCGAAAAAAUUAGAGUGUUUAAAGCAGGCUUUAGCUUGAAUACAUUAGCAUGGAAUAAUGAAAUAGGACGUUUGAUCCUAUUUUGUUGGUUUCUAGGAUUGACGUAAUGAUUAAUAGGGAUAGUUGGGGGCAUUAGUAUUCAAUUGUCAGAGGUGAAAUUCUUGGAUUUAUUGAAGACUAACUACUGCGAAAGCAUUUGCCAAGGAUGUUUUCAUUAAUCAAGAACGAAAGUUAGGGGAUCGAAGACGAUCAGAUACCGUCGUAGUCUUAACCAUAAACUAUGCCGACUAGGGAUCGGAUGAUGUUAAUUUUUUAAUGACUCAUUCGGCGCCUUACG